UACGUAGGUGCAAGCGUUGUCCGGAAUUAUUGGGCGUAGAGAGCUCGUAGGUGGUUUGUUACGUCUGCUGUGAAAACCUAGGGCUUAACCCUGGGCUUGCAGUGGAUACGGGCAGACUAGAGGUAGGUAGGGGAGAAUGGAAUUCCUGGUGUAGCGGUGAAAUGCGCAGAUAUCAGGAGGAACACCGGUGGCGAAGGCGCUCCUGGCCGUAAUGACUCUGAGGUGCGAAAGCGUGGGGGAGCAAACAGG
rnacentral:rRNA from 1 species